AAAGCGUGCGCAGGCGGUUAUGUAAGACAGAUGUGAAAUCCCCGGGCUUAACCUGGGAACUGCAUUUGUGACUGCAUAGCUGGAGUACGGCAGAGGGGGAUGGAAUUCCGCGUGUAGCAGUGAAAUGCGUAGAUAUGCGGAGGAACACCGAUGGCGAAGGCAAUCCCCUGGGCCUGUACUGACGCUCAUGCACGAAAGCGUGGGGAGCAAACAGGAUUAGAUACCCCUGU
rnacentral:rRNA from 1 species